rnacentral:rRNA from 1 species
AUGUACUUUACCAUGGGUGUGCUAGUUGGGCAUUCCCUUUACUGGUUGUUCAAUGACAGAUCGGCAAAAACUCUACUGUUGGAUGGCAUACUUGAGUUUGAUUUGGAGAAGCCGAUCCUAGCUGUGAAACCAGUACCAGUGGGUAUUCCCAAGGAAAACAUGUGCCGAUUCCAGGUUAUGCAGGCAGAGGGUGGUGGCCUUGGCAUUCUAUUUCUGUCAAAUUUCAGCGCCCAAUUAUGGAAGGUGGAGACCGAUUGUGAUGGUGCUGCUUCAUGGGUGCUAGGAAGAACUGUUGAACUGGAUAAGCUACUUUCCAUUAAUUCAAGGAAGAAGAGGAAAUGGCACCAAAGUAUAGAGGGGUUUGCUGAGUACAAUAAUGUGCUGCUGCUACGGACACCUACCGACCUCUUCAUAAUCCAGCUUGAGCCACUGCAGUUCAAGAAAGUUUCCAAGACCAAGAAGUGGGUUUGUUAUCAUCCGUUUGAAAGUGUUUAUGCUGCAGGAAUGAGCAUUGGUGGUGGACAUGAUGGAGCUAAACUUUUGCAAAAUACAUAA